CCCGCUCCUGUCAAGCAACAGGUACAGAAUCUUGAAAGUGCAUACCACCAGACUCAGGAGCACCUUCUCCCCCUCUAUUAUCAGGGUUCUGAAUGGUCCUUCCAUAAGCUAGGGUACUGUCUGAUUCACCUCUACCCCACUGA